AGUGAACGCUGGCGGUAGGCCUAACACAUGCAAGUCGAACGGCAGCACAGUAAGAGCUCGCUCUUACGGGUGGCGAGUGGCGGACGGGUGAUGAAUACAUCGGAAUCUACUUUUUCGUGGGGGAUAACGUAGGGAAACUUACGCUAAUACCGCAUACGACCUACGGGUGAAAGCAUGGGAUCUUCGGACCUUGCGCGAUUGAAUGAGCCGAUGUCGGAUUAGCUAGUUGGCGGGGUAAAGGCCCACCAAGGCGACGAUCCGUAGCUGGUCUGAGAGGAUGAUCAGCCACACUGGAACUGAGACACGGUCCAGACUCCUACGGGAGGCAGCAGUGGGGAAUAUUGGACAAUGGGCGCAAGCCUGAUCCAGCCAUACCGCGUGGGUGAAGAAGGCCUUCGGGUUGUAAAGCCCUUUUGUUGGGAAAGAAAAGCAGCAGGUUAAUACCCCGCUGUUCUGACGGUACCCAAAGAAUAAGCACCGGCUAACUUCGUG
rnacentral:rRNA from 1 species